rnacentral:ncRNA from 1 species
AAGCGGGAGCUUGUGUUACAGGCUGAGAGUAAGGUGUGACCUUAGACCGAUAACCUGAUUUGGGUAAUGCCAACGUAGGGAAACAGUGAAAUU